ACAAGCUACUGUAUUUGGGAUUCACCCUGCAGCUUUUGCCUGGAUUCCCACUGAAGCUAAGCAGGGUUGAGUCAGUACCUGGAUGGGAGACCUCCUGGGGAAAACUAAGGUUGCUUCUG
rnacentral:rRNA from 1 species